rnacentral:rRNA from 1 species
CCCUUAGAUGUCCUGGGCCGCACGCGCGCUACACUGAUGCAUUCAACGAGUAUUUCCUUGGCCGAGAGGCCUGGGCAAUCUUUUAAACCUGCAUCGUGAUAGGGAUAGAUUAUUGCAAUUAUUAAUCUUGAACGAGGAGUUCCUAGUAAACGCAAAUCAUCAAUUUGCAUUGAUUACGUCCCUGCCCUUUGUACACACCGCCCGUCGCUCCUACCGAUUGAGUGCUCAGGUGAAUAAUUCGGACUGCAGCAAUGUUUGGAUCCCGAACGUUGCAGCGGAAAGUUUAGUGAACCUUAUCACUUAGAGGAAGGAGAAGUCGUAACA